AAUAGAUACCCGGGUAGUCCACGCCGUAAACGAUGAGUGCUAAGUGUUAGGGGGUUUCCACCCCUUAGUGCUGCAGCUAACGCAUUAAGCACUCCGCCUGGGGAGUACGGUCGCAAGACUGAAACUCAAAGGAAUUGACGGGGGCCCGCACAAGCGGUGGAGCAUGUGGUUUAAUUCGAAGCAACGCGAAGAACCUUACCAGGUCUUGACAUCCCGCUGACCGCUAUGGAGACAUAGCCUUCCCUUCGGGGACAGCGGUGACAGGUGGUGCAUGGUUGUCGUCAGCUCGUGUCGUGAGAUGUUGGGUCAAGUCCCGCAACGAGCGCAACCCUUGUCCUUAGUUGCCAUCAUUCAGUUGGGCACUCUAAGGAGACUGCCGUACAAAUACGGAGGAAGGUGGGGAUGACGUCAAAUCAUCAUGCCCCUUAUGACCUGGGCUACACACGUGCUACAAUGGACGGUACAAACGGUCGCGAAGUCGCGAGACGGAGCCAAUACCGAAAAAACCGUUCUCAGUUCGGAUUGCAGG
rnacentral:rRNA from 1 species